GUACGGAGAAGCAGAACCAAUAAGGAGAGUGAUCUCAAUCCGACCAAUGAAAUCAAAUGCUGAGGAAUGCUUGGAGAUCCCCUUCAGAGCUGCUGAUUCAUUUCUCCUUAGCAAAAAAACAUGUGCUGCUGCAGAAACCACGGUACAGAAAAUGGAUGACAGGGAAUAAUUUACUUUAUGCAAGACCUGAAUACAAAAAACAAAGGAAAAAAUCAUCCCUAGCAAUCCUGAGGUCUCCAAAAACAGUUUUGUGUAUUCCAGCUUUACCGGAUCUCUGAGCACUAAAUCACAUGAAUUUACAAAGCAAGUACAAAUAUUUUUCUUUGGUAAACUCUAGAGAGUUCAGAGAAUUAUGCCAAGAUUUUGCAUAAAUUUACUACAGGAAUCCUGAAAAGUCCUAUGUUCUACCUGUCAGCGAACAUUGAGAUUGACAUAAUGUAUGUGAGACUUGUGCAUAGACUUCCUUCUUAAUUUUUCUUCUGUAUUUAGCUAAUUGCAAAACAAUCAUUGUUCAUGAAAAUGGUUCAGGUCUGCUACAUCCUUCUCAUUCACUUUUACAAAUAUUACUACUUGUAAUGUCAGUCAAUAAAUAAAUGAACAAAUUACAAUGUAAUGAACAAUAACACAAUGGAUAUCCCAGUGCACAGGAAACAGACCGACUCCCCUAGUCCAUGUCAGAUAUUAUGGAGGGCAUGAAUUAAGGAUAGCAUAAUAGUAUUCAUCUUAAAUUACACUAAUGUUUAUUUAAAUUUGUGUAUCUAUGUGUCUGCUUAUCUGCCUGUACAGAACAUUUCCAAAGACUGCAGUCCAGACUCUCCCAUCUGCAGACUUGAGUCCUUGCAACAAAUCCAGCCAUGGAGAAUUUCUUCUACUUUCAUCACUCAUCCACCUGCACUAAUUGUGCCUAUUGAUAAAGUUAAUAAAUAAAACGUAACCAGAA